GGAGGAGCAGUAAAGGCUUGUGAAGAUCUUCAUCGGAGCUUGCAAAAAGUAGUGAAGGAUAUUGAGUCUGUUGAGGUGCGCAUCAGAGAUCUGCAAA